rnacentral:lncRNA from 1 species
UUGAAAUGUGGACUUGUGUUUUGAAUUUAGUUAAGUGUGGUCACUUGAGAAGUGAAUUAGUGACUUCAAAAUGUUUAAGUGUAGGUACGUUUUUUCAUUUUGAAUUAGGUUUAGUUUGGUAACGUGUGAAGUGAAUUAGUUACUUGAAAAUAUUUAGGUGUAGGUAUUUGAAAUGUGAACUUUUGUGACUUGAACUAAUCACUUGAAUGUAAUUGAUUGUGUAGAUGGAAUCUGAUUAUAGCUGGAUAUAUCAACGAAAUAUCGAUAAUUGAAUGGAUGAGGCUGAGAAUGAAGAUGCGGAUGAUGAGUUGUAGUUUUUAGUAUUUUGUAUGUUUUAUAGUUUGGAUUUGGAACCUCGAUAAAUUUUGUAAAUAAUGUUUGUAUUCUUAUGGUGGUUUGUUGAUUACAUAUAUAUGAUUGGUGGGAUGUAUUGUAGAUAAUAAUCAAUGUUUGUAAAUGAUUGGUGGG